rnacentral:misc_RNA from 1 species
GUUGAUCCGAAGUUGCCUGAGAUGCCUGCUUCCAAAGCACUAAAACGUGUUCUCCUGGUUGCUCUUCGAUGUGUUGAUCCUGAUGCAACAAAGCGACCCAAAAUGGGGCAAGUCAUCUGCCUCAAGCAUGUGGAUUNUAUUUCGUGAUGAACACCGAAUUGGGAGAGAAAAAGAAUCUUCCCAUUCACGCUCUUAUGGACAAGGAAAUCAUACUGUUGCAAAAUUAGGCGAUAAACAAAUGGGUGAAGGUACUUCAGAUGCAAGUGAAGGUGAUAGUAUUAGGAAUCUUCAUGAACAAAAUAGGUGGAGAUAACGUCACUGGAGGACUAGGUGAUCAACUAAUUUAAAUCUCCCAAAGUUAUUCAACUUCCUUUUUUUU